GUACUGAUGAAGAGUCCUAGACUGGGACGAAACAGAUGUCCAGCAC
rfam:Trichobilharzia regenti genome assembly, scaffold: TRE_scaffold0003181